rnacentral:rRNA from 1 species
AACGAACGCUGGCGGCAUGCCUAACACAUGUAAGUCGAACGAGACCUUCGGGUCUAGUGGCGCACGGGUGCGUAACGCGUGGGAACCUGCCCUUAGGUUCGGAAUAACUCCCCGAAAGGGGUGCUAAUACCGGAUAAUGUCUUCGGACCAAAGAUUUAUCGCCUUUGGAUGGGCCCGCGUUGGAUUAGCUAGUUGGUAGGGUAAAAGCCUACCAAGGCGACGAUCCAUAGCUGGUCUGAGAGGAUGAUCAGCCACACUGGGACUGAGACACGGCCCAGACUCCUACGGGAGGCAGCAGUGGGGAAUAUUGGACAAUGGGCGAAAGCCUGAUCCAGCAAGGCCGCGUGAGUGAUGAAGGCCUUAGGGUUGUAAAGCUCUUUUACCCGGGAUGAUAAUGACAGUACCGGGAGAAUAAGCUCCGGCUAACUCCGUG